AUGCAUGCGAUGUGGCACAAGACCGGCAAUACCUUGCCGGUGAUGGUCACCAACCGGCAGACGGGUAGCAAAAAGGUUCUUGUGCUGCACACCAACAAGAACUUUGACCAGCAGAGGACCAACUGGGUGAUGCACCAGUACCACCUCGGGGACCUGGAGCAAGAGAAGGAGCGGGAGCUGGUCCUCUGCAAGAUUUUCUACCAGACGAACACUAGGGCCAGGAGUCGAGCAAGUUUCAACUGGGCUGUAGACUGCCCAGGCUUGGUUUUGUUUUUAACAGGCCCAGCCCAUCACGACAACGGGGCACAAAGAUCCAGCAGGUAUCUACUGGCCUAA
rnacentral:rRNA from 1 species